GCAGGACUGAAGAGGCUUUCUUAAAGAGUUCUGAAAUCUUCAACAUUGUCUAGAAAAUCCUGUGCAUUGCUGAAGACAGGAAAUGUCCUCUCCGCAUCCAGAGCAGCGUGCUCCCUCCAAGAUCUUCUUGCUUGCCUUUCCUGGUUUUGAAAGGAUGAAGUUCUUCUUUUGCUGAAGUGCCAGCCUGCCUUAGGAGCACAGGACUGAGGAUAUGGCAGCAUUCAUUGGGUAAGCAGUUUUGCCACCUCCCUGUUUCCCAUGAACUGCAAGCUCUGUGCGGACCUACACUGUGGUGGGAAUGAGCGUGAUGGCACUGUGUUUGUCCACAGCUAAAGACACAGCUGAGACCUCAAGAGAUGAGUGUGUCCUCACACAGGAAGUUUCCAGUUCCAGAGAUGAGUCAAUGCUGAAACGUUAAUUCUGGGCUCAGCAUCCUACCCAGAGCACUGUAGAAGUAGAGGAUCACUGGGAAAACCCUAAGCGGAUAUUUGUUCAUAAUCUUUCCGUAAUCUAUGUAUUAACCUGAAGCUAAAGCACUAGCUGGUCUGCUUGAUCCCACUACUGUCUGACAGCUGUACAGAUGAUUUUGCAAGGAGAAGCCAUGGUUUUAGCUAGUUUUGCCCAACAGUACAACAGAACUUCUAUUGCAUUUCACUGAAACCACAGAGGGCUGAAGUGGAAGAAACUGCAGCAGUGUGCAACCAGCACUGCUGCACAGGAGCAUGCGGAAAAGUGCCGAAUCCUCUUGGGGAACCUGAGUGUGGGACAAGCUGCGCAAAGGGACUUGGGAACCACCCUUGUGAUAGAUGCAAUUUUUCAUUGUAGCUAAGUUCAGAAGAUCUUCUGAAGUCUUGCCUUGACAUUGGGGUGUGGCUGUCACAGUGGUGGUUACUUUAUAGUUAUUUUUUGGCUUUAAAAUAUCUAUUAACAUAAUAGGAUUUCUUUUUUGAAAAAUAAUAUAUGAAUUAUGGAUGAUAUUUAUCCCCUGGCUGUUCUUCUCUUCAGCAUGACCUUUUGAUAAUUUGCGUGUUGCAAAGUAUAUUUGUCUGCAAGCAGGUGGCUAACUUCAAUGAGAUUGUUCCAGGAAUCAAAUGUUCACAGAAUCACAGAAUGGUUGA